GGUUAAGCGACUAAGCGUACACGGUGGAUGCCCUGGCAGUCAGAGGCGAUGAAGGGCGUGCUAAUCUGCGAUAAGCGCCGGUAAGGUGAUAUGAACCGUUAUAACCGGCGAUACCCGAAUGGGGAAACCCAGUGUGAUUCGUCACACUAUCAUUAACUGAAUCCAUAGGUUAAUGAGGCGAACCGGGGGAACUGAAACAUCUAAGUACCCCGAGGAAAAGAAAUCAACCGAGAUUCCCCCAGUAGCGGCGAGCGAACGGGGAGGAGCCCAGAGCCUGAAUCAGCAUGUGUGUUAGUGGAAGCGUCUGGAAAGGCGCGCGAUACAGGGUGACAGCCCCGUACACAAAAGCGCAUGUGCUGUGAGCUCGAUGAGUAGGGCGGGACACGUGGUAUCCUGUCUGAAUAUGGGGGGACCAUCCUCCAAGGCUAAAUACUCCUGACUGACCGAUAGUGAACCAGUACCGUGAGGGAAAGGCGAAAAGAACCCCGGCGAGGGGAGUGAAAAAGAACCUGAAACCGUGUACGUACAAGCAGUGGGAGCACAGGUUUACCUGUGUGACUGCGUACCUUUUGUAUAAUGGGUCAGCGACUUAUAUUCUGUAGCAAGGUUAACCGAAUAGGGGAGCCGUAGGGAAACCGAGUCUUAACCGGGCGUUAAGUUGCAGGGUAUAGACCCGAAACCCGGUGAUCUAGCCAUGGGCAGGUUGAAGGUUGGGUAACACUAACUGGAGGACCGAACCGACUAAUGUUGAAAAAUUAGCGGAUGACCUGUGGCUGGGGGUGAAAGGCCAAUCAAACCGGGAGAUAGCUGGUUCUCCCCGAAAGCUAUUUAGGUAGCGCCUCGUGAAUUCAUCUCCGGGGGUAGAGCACUGUUUCGGCUAGGGGGCCAUCCCGGCUUACCAACCCGAUGCAAACUGCGAAUACCGGAGAAUGUUAUCACGGGAGACACACGGCGGGUGCUAACGUCCGUCGUGAAGAGGGAAACAACCCAGACCGCCAGCUAAGGUCCCAAAGUCAUGGUUAAGUGGGAAACGAUGUGGGAAGGCCCAGACAGCCAGGAUGUUGGCUUAGAAGCAGCCAUCAUUUAAAGAAAGCGUAAUAGCUCACUGGUCGAGUCGGCCUGCGCGGAAGAUGUAACGGGGCUAAACCAUGCACCGAAGCUGCGGCAGCGAACGUAUCACUUAAAGCGAUUCAGCGGGUUACGAUUGACGGAGCGAAGCGACGUCAAAGCGUAUACAAAGUCGAGUCGGUUUAAGGAUACGUUCGUUGGGUAGGGGAGCGUUCUGUAAGCCUGCGAAGGUGGCCUGUGAGGGUUGCUGGAGGUAUCAGAAGUGCGAAUGCUGACAUAAGUAACGAUAAAGCGGGUGAAAAGCCCGCUCGCCGGAAGACCAAGGGUUCCUGUCCAACGUUAAUCGGGGCAGGGUGAGUCGACCCCUAAGGCGAGGCCGAAAGGCGUAGUCGAUGGGAAACGGGUUAAUAUUCCCGUACUUGGUGUUACUGCGAAGGGGGGACGGAGAAGGCUAUGUUGGCCGGGCGACGGUUGUCCCGGUUUAAGCGUGUAGGUGUGUGUUCCAGGUAAAUCCGGUUCACUUUAACACUGAGGCGUGAUGACGAGGCACUACGGUGCUGAAGCAACAAAUGCCCUGCUUCCAGGAAAAGCCUCUAAGCAUCAGGUAACAUCAAAUCGUACCCCAAACCGACACAGGUGGUCAGGUAGAGAAUACCAAGGCGCUUGAGAGAACUCGGGUGAAGGAACUAGGCAAAAUGGUGCCGUAACUUCGGGAGAAGGCACGCUGACACGUAGGUGAAGUGAUUUACUCACGGAGCUGAAGUCAGUCGAAGAUACCAGCUGGCUGCAACUGUUUAUUAAAAACACAGCACUGUGCAAACACGAAAGUGGACGUAUACGGUGUGACGCCUGCCCGGUGCCGGAAGGUUAAUUGAUGGGGUCAGCGCAAGCGAAGCUCCUGAUCGAAGCCCCGGUAAACGGCGGCCGUAACUAUAACGGUCCUAAGGUAGCGAAAUUCCUUGUCGGGUAAGUUCCGACCUGCACGAAUGGCGUAAUGAUGGCCAGGCUGUCUCCACCCGAGACUCAGUGAAAUUGAACUCGCUGUGAAGAUGCAGUGUACCCGCGGCAAGACGGAAAGACCCCGUGAACCUUUACUAUAGCUUGACACUGAACAUUGAGCCUUGAUGUGUAGGAUAGGUGGGAGGCUUUGAAGCGUGGACGCCAGUCUGCGUGGAGCCGACCUUGAAAUACCACCCUUUAAUGUUUGAUGUUCUAACGUGGACCCGUAAUCCGGGUUGCGGACAGUGUCUGGUGGGUAGUUUGACUGGGGCGGUCUCCUCCUAAAGAGUAACGGAGGAGCACGAAGGUUGGCUAAUCCUGGUCGGACAUCAGGAGGUUAGUGCAAUGGCAUAAGCCAGCUUGACUGCGAGCGUGACGGCGCGAGCAGGUGCGAAAGCAGGUCAUAGUGAUCCGGUGGUUCUGAAUGGAAGGGCCAUCGCUCAACGGAUAAAAGGUACUCCGGGGAUAACAGGCUGAUACCGCCCAAGAGUUCAUAUCGACGGCGGUGUUUGGCACCUCGAUGUCGGCUCAUCACAUCCUGGGGCUGAAGUAGGUCCCAAGGGUAUGGCUGUUCGCCAUUUAAAGUGGUACGCGAGCUGGGUUUAGAACGUCGUGAGACAGUUCGGUCCCUAUCUGCCGUGGGCGCUGGAGAACUGAGGGGGGCUGCUCCUAGUACGAGAGGACCGGAGUGGACGCAUCACUGGUGUUCGGGUUGUCAUGCCAAUGGCACUGCCCGGUAGCUAAAUGCGGAAGAGAUAAGUGCUGAAAGCAUCUAAGCACGAAACUUGCCCCGAGAUGAGUUCUCCCUGAGACUUUAGGUCUCCUGAAGGAACGUUGAAGACGACGACGUUGAUAGGCCGGGUGUGUAAGCGCAGCGAUGCGUUGAGCUAACCGGUACUAAUGAACCGUGAGGCUUAACCUU
rnacentral:rRNA from 1 species